rnacentral:tRNA from 1 species
GCUGCUAUGGCUCAGUCGGUAGAGCACAUCCUUGGUAAGGAUGAGGUCCCCAGUUCGAAUCUGGGUAGCAGCUCCA